AUAAAAAGAGACUUGAGUUGUGUCUGCUUUCAUCAAAUGCGAUAACCAUAUAUGUUUUUGAUCCAAUAAUCUAUAUUUCAUAUCUGUUUCUAUCAAUGUUAUCUGUUGUGUCUCUGGUAUAUUAACUUUUGUUUAUCUACAGACAUCCUUAAUGUUUAUCUGCGUUUCUGCUUUCUGAGGAGUACUUUUGGUUCUGCUAUGGCAUCCAAAACAACAAAUCAUUUCACUGGAGGGGGCUGCGAUUAUGCUCUAUACAAGGAACUAUGGCAUGCGUGUGCUGGACCUCUUGUUACCCUUCCUCGUGCUGGGGAACGAGUUUAUUAUUUUCCACAAGGUCACAUGGAACAGCUUGGAGCUCCAGUACAUGAAGGUUUAGAGCAGGAAAUGCUCCCAUUCAAUCUUCCAUCUAAAAUUCUUUGU
rnacentral:misc_RNA from 1 species